GUGAGGAAUAUUGGUCAAUGGGCGCAAGCCUGAACCAGCCAUGCCGCGUGCAGGAAGACGGUCCUAUGGAUUGUAAACUGCUUUUAUUUGGGAAUAAACUCCGGUACGUGUACCGGCCUGAAGGUACCAAAUGAAUAAGCACCGGCUAACUCCGUGCCAGCAGCCGCGGUAAUACGGAGGGUGCAAGCGUUAUCCGGAAUCAUUGGGUUUAAAGGGUCCGCAGGCGGUCUUAUAAGUCAGUGGUGAAAGCCUACAGCUCAACUGUAGAACUGCCAUUGAUACUGUAGGACUUGAAUUCGAUCGAAGUGGGCGGAAUGUGACAUGUAGCGGUGAAAUGCUUAGAUAUGUCACAGAACACCAAUAGCGAAGGCAGCUCACUAGGUCUGGAUUGACGCUCAGGGACGAAAGCGUGGGGAGCAAACAGGAUUAGAAACCCCUGUAGUCC
rnacentral:rRNA from 1 species